rnacentral:rRNA from 1 species
AUGCAGUCGAGCGGACAGAAGGGAGCUUGCUCCCGGAUGUUAGCGGCGGACGGGUGAGUAACACGUGGGUAACCUGCCUGUAAGACUGGGAUAACUCCGGGAAACCGGAGCUAAUACCGGAUAGUUCCUUGAACCGCAUGGUUCAAGGAUGAAAGACGGUUUCGGCUGUCACUUACAGAUGGACCCGCGGCGCAUUAGCUAGUUGGUGGGGUAAUGGCUCACCAAGGCGACGAUGCGUAGCCGACCUGAGAGGGUGAUCGGCCACACUGGGACUGAGACACGGCCCAGACUCCUACGGGAGGCAGCAGUAGGGAAUCUUCCGCAAUGGACGAAAGUCUGACGGAGCAACGCCGCGUGAGUGAUGAAGGUUUUCGGAUCGUAAAGCUCUGUUGUUAGGGAAGAACAAGUGCGAGAGUAACUGCUCGCACCUUGACGGUACCUAACCAGAAAGCCACGGCUAACUACGUGCCAGCAGCCGCGGUAAUACGUAGGUGGCAAGCGUUGUCCGGAAUUAUUGGGCGUAAAGGGCUCGCAGGCGGUUUCUUAAGUCUGAUGUGAAAGCCCCCGGCUCAACCGGGGAGGGUCAUUGGAAACUGGGAAACUUGAGUGCAGAAGAGGAGAGUGGAAUUCCACGUGUAGCGGUGAAAUGCGUAGAGAUGUGGAGGAACACCAGUGGCGAAGGCGACUCUCUGGUCUGUAACUGACGCUGAGGAGCGAAAGCGUGGGGGAGCGAACAGGAUUAGAUACCCUGGUAGUCCACGCCGUAAACGAUGAGUGCUAAUGUUAGGGGGUUUCCGCCCCUUAGUGCUGCAGCUAACGCAUUAAGCACUCCGCCUGGGGAGUACGGUCGCAAGACUG